rnacentral:rRNA from 1 species
UACGAGGGGGGCAAAUGUUGUUCGGAAUCACUGGGCGUAAAGGGAACGUAGGCGGGUUUUUAAGUCAGGUGUUUAAUCCCGGGGCCCAACCCCGGACAGGCACUUGAAACUGGGAAUCUUGAAUAGUGGAGAGGUCAGUGGAAUUGGGGGUGUAGCGGUGGAAUGCGUAGAGAUCCCCAAGAACACCCGUUGCGAAGGCGGCUGACUGGACACAUAUUGACGCUGAGGCUCGAAAGCAUGGGGAGCAAACAGG